GACAGAGGUGCCGAGCGUUAGGCGGAAUCACUGGGCUUGAAGCGUGUGUAGGCGGACCCGUCAGUGUCUUGUGAAAUCCCACGGCUCAACCGUGGAACGGCUGGGCAUACUGCGGGUCUUGAGACACCUAGGGGCGAGCGGAACAGGCGGUGGAGCGGUGAAAUGCGUAGAUAUCGCCUGGAACGCCGACGGUGAAAACAGCUCGCUGGGGGUGUUCUGACGCUGAGACACGAAAGCCAGGGGAGCGAACGGG
rnacentral:rRNA from 1 species